CCAGCCGGCCGGGUGGCCGCGACCGCGAGAGCCGAAAGGCUGCGGUCGAGGAAAGUCCGGGCUCCAUGGAAACACGGUGCCGGCCAACUGCCGGCGGGGGCGACCCCAGGGAAAGUGCCACAGAGAGCAGACCGCCUCGCCUUAGGGCGCGGCAAGGGUGAAAGGGUGGGGUAAGAGCCCACCGCGCGACCGGCAACGGGAGCGGCAUGGCAAACCCCACCGGGAGCAAAACCGAAUAGGGACGACGCGCGGGGAAACCCGCAGGCUGUUUCCGGCCCAGUCGUCCGGGUGGGUUGCGUCAGGCGUCCAGCAAUGGCCGCCGAAGAUGAAUGGCCACCGCGUCGCGCGGUCCGCAAGGAUCACGCGGCCAUACAGAACCCGGCUUACAGGCCGGCUGGCGCU
rnacentral:RNase_P_RNA from 1 species